UCCUCAGUAGCUCAGUGAUAGAGCGGUCGACUGCUAAUUGACUAAUUGUAGGUUUGUAUCCUACUUGGGGAG